UAAACCACUCUCAGAGGUCAAGCGACACACCUCUGAAGACCUAGAUUAUUGCGAAGGAGGAUGGAGAAGUCAUUGCAGCUCAUUGCAAUUGCAUGGCAGGACUAUCAGAAUCGUGUUCUCAUGUAGGGGCAGUUCUUUUUUCCAUUGAAGUUGGGGUUAAGAUGCAAGAUUCAGCUUCCUGCAAAACAGAGCAGUGCAAGUGGCUGAUCCUAUCACAUGUAAAAAAGGUAAGGUGACACAUUCACAGCAAACCAAAUGUGGGACAGAGAAUGUUAUUUUGGGACACUGUUUAACAGUAGGCUAAAUUAUGAUGUUAAUAAAUUAAAGGGAUAGUUCACCCAAAAAUGAAAAUUCUGUCAUCAUUUACUAACUCUCAUGUUGUUACAAACCCACAUAAAUUUCUUUGUUCUGGUGAACACAAAGGAAGACAUUUUGAGAAAUGUUCGUAACCAAACCGUUUGUGGACCCCAUUUACUUACAUAGUAUUCCUUUAUCCUGCUAUGGAAGUAAAUGGGGUCCACGAACGGUUUAAUUACAAACAUUUUUCUAAACAUCUUCCUUAGUGUUCAUCAGAACAAAGAAACUUAUGUGGGUUUGUAACAACAUGAGAGUGAGUAAAUGAUGACAGAAUUUUCAUUUUGGGUGAACUAUCCAUUUUUGAUGUCUAUAUUGUGCCCCUUUGGUUAUGUCUUUGCUCUAGUUAAUUCAUCAGGACACAACAUACAGUAGACAAGUAGAUUGCUUGUCUUCAUCUACAUUUCCUCCUCUAUGAGGGGAUUUUCAUUAUAUUUCAUCAUACCUAAUGUCGGGGAUUAUUAAAGUAUUUCUAUUCUAUAUUCUGCCUUAAUCUGUGUAGCUUGUGACAUUGUGGUCAGUCACAAUUUCCCUGUUGGGCAAAGAGGAGUUAAGACAACAAAGACCCACAUAAAUACAGUUUGGCAUCUCAAUCCUGUGAUGAUAGCCUUACCUGUUUUCCUCACAGCCAUCGGAUAAAGGCAGAUUUAAACUGCAUAUAGAAAUGUUGUGGACCACAGAAAUGUGGCGUUAAUGAUCUUCUUUGUGUUAACUUAUUUUCAGAUUCCUGCUGCUCCAGUAGCUCUGAUUGACUUCUCAUCAGCAAAAGCAAAAAUAAAAAAUAAAAAAAAUAAAGCUUGACUGUUCCAUUGAUGGCAGGACAACUGACAACAAGGUUGGGAAAUCACUUCCAUGCCCAAGAGUGAAGAGAGGGUCAGAAACAUAUGCUAGGUUUUUUGAGACAUUAAACUAAAACUGUCCAAGGAGUGAAGCACUGAUGGCUAGGGAGCCUUACCACAAAU
ensembl:lncRNA